UGAAUAUGGGGGGACCAUCCUCCAAGGCUAAAUACUCCUGACUGACCGAUAGUGAACCAGUACCGUGAGGGAAAGGCGAAAAGAACCCCGGCGAGGGGAGUGAAAAAGAACCUGAAACCGUGUACGUACAAGCAGUGGGAGCACGCUUAGGCGUGUGACUGCGUACCUUUUGUAUAAUGGGUCAGCGACUUAUAUUCUGUAGCAAGGUUAACCGAAUAGGGGAGCCGAAGGGAAACCGAGUCUUAACUGGGCGUUAAGUUGCAGGGUAUAGACCCGAAACCCGGUGAUCUAGCCAUGGGCAGGUUGAAGGUUGGGUAACACUAACUGGAGGACCGAACCGACUAAUGUUGAAAAAUUAGCGGAUGACUUGUGGCUGGGGGUGAAAGGCCAAUCAAACCGGGAGAUAGCUGGUUCUCCCCGAAAGCUAUUUAGGUAGCGCCUCGUGAAUUCAUCUCCGGGGGUAGAGCACUGUUUCGGCAAGGGGGUCAUCCCGACUUACCAACCCGAUGCAAACUGCGAAUACCGGAGAAUGUUAUCACGGGAGACACACGGCGGGUGCUAACGUCCGUCGUGAAGAGGGAAACAACCCAGACCGCCAGCUAAGGUCCCAAAGUCAUGGUUAAGUGGGAAACGAUGUGGGAAGGCCCAGACAGCCAGGAUGUUGGCUUAGAAGCAGCCAUCAUUUAAAGAAAGCGUAAUAGCUCACUGGUCGAGUCGGCCUGCGCGGAAGAUGUAACGGGGCUAAACCAUGCACCGAAGCUGCGGCAGCGACACUAUGUGUUGUUGGGUAGGGGAGCGUUCUGUAAGCCUGUGAAGGUGUACUGUGAGGUAUGCUGGAGGUAUCAGAAGUGCGAAUGCUGACAUAAGUAACGAUAAAGCGGGUGAAAAGCCCGCUCGCCGGAAGACCAAGGGUUCCUGUCCAACGUUAAUCGGGGCAGGGUGAGUCGACUCCUAAGGCGAGGCCGAAAGGCGUAGUCGAUGGGAAACAGGUUAAUAUUCCUGUACUUGGUGUUACUGCGAAGGGGGGACGGAGAAGGCUAUGUUGGCCGGGCGACGGUUGUCCCGGUUUAAGCGUGUAGGCUGGUUUUCCAGGCAAAUCCGGAAAACUAAGGCUGAGGCGUGAUGACGAGGCACUACGGUGCUGAAGCAACAAAUGCCCUGCUUCCAGGAAAAGCCUCUAAGCAUCAGGUAACAUCAAAUCGUACCCCAAACCGACACAGGUGGUCAGGUAGAGAAUACCAAGGCGCUUGAGAGAACUCGGGUGAAGGAACUAGGCAAAAUGGUGCCGUAACUUCGGGAGAAGGCACGCUGAUAUGUAGGUGAAGUCCCUCGCGGAUGGAGCUGAAAUCAGUCGAAGAUACCAGCUGGCUGCAACUGUUUAUUAAAAACACAGCACUGUGCAAACACGAAAGUGGACGUAUACGGUGUGACGCCUGCCCGGUGCCGGAAGGUUAAUUGAUGGGGUCAGCGCAAGCGAAGCUCUUGAUCGAAGCCCCGGUAAACGGCGGCCGUAACUAUAACGGUCCUAAGGUAGCGAAAUUCCUUGUCGGGUAAGUUCCGACCUGCACGAAUGGCGUAAUGAUGGCCAGGCUGUCUCCACCCGAGACUCAGUGAAAUUGAACUCGCUGUGAAGAUGCAGUGUACCCGCGGCAAGACGGAAAGACCCCGUGAACCUUUACUAUAGCUUGACACUGAACAUUGAGCCUUGAUGUGUAGGAUAGGUGGGAGGCUUUGAAGUGUGGACGCCAGUCUGCAUGGAGCCGACCUUGAAAUACCACCCUUUAAUGUUUGAUGUUCUAACGUUGACCCGUAAUCCGGGUUGCGGACAGUGUCUGGUGGGUAGUUUGACUGGGGCGGUCUCCUCCUAAAGAGUAACGGAGGAGCACGAAGGUUGGCUAAUCCUGGUCGGACAUCAGGAGGUUAGUGCAAUGGCAUAAGCCAGCUUGACUGCGAGCGUGACGGCGCGAGCAGGUGCGAAAGCAGGUCAUAGUGAUCCGGUGGUUCUGAAUGGAAGGGCCAUCGCUCAACGGAUAAAAGGUACUCCGGGGAUAACAGGCUGAUACCGCCCAAGAGUUCAUAUCGACGGCGGUGUUUGGCACCUCGAUGUCGGCUCAUCACAUCCUGGGGCUGAAGUAGGUCCCAAGGGUAUGGCUGUUCGCCAUUUAAAGUGGUACGCGAGCUGGGUUUAGAACGUCGUGAGACAGUUCGGUCCCUAUCUGCCGUGGGCGCUGGAGAACUGAGGGGGGCUGCUCCUAGUACGAGAGGACCGGAGUGGACGCAUCACUGGUGUUCGGGUUGUCAUGCCAAUGGCACUGCCCGGUAGCUAAAUGCGGAAGAGAUAAGUGCUGAAAGCAUCUAAGCACGAAACUUGCCCCGAGAUGAGUUCUCCCUGACUCCUUGAGAGUCCUGAAGGAACGUU
rnacentral:rRNA from 1 species